rnacentral:tRNA from 1 species
UAUAUAUUAGUGUUUAAGGCAUAAAAAAUUUUGGAUUUUUUGGAAAUAAUUAAAUUUUACUAUAUAUUU